CCAAGGGUUCCUGUCCAACGUUAAUCGGGGCAGGGUGAGUCGACCCCUAAGGCGAGGCUGAAAAGCGUAGUCGAUGGGAAACGGGUUAAUAUUCCCGUACUGGUGGUAACUGCGAUGGGGGAACGGAGAAGGCUAGGUUGUCCGGGCGACGGUCGUCCCGGUUCAAGCAUGUAGGCAGAGUGAUUAGGCAAAUCCGGUCACUUAAUGCUGAGGUGUGAUGACGAGCCACUAAGGUGGUGAAGCAAUUGAUGCCCUGCUUCCAGGAAAAGCCUCUAAGCUUCAGGUUACCAACAAUCGUACCCCAAACCGACACAGGUGGUCAGGUAGAGAAUACU
rnacentral:rRNA from 1 species